ensembl:lncRNA
CCGUGCCCCGAUGACCCUAUGAUGACCCCAUAUCCGUGCCCUGAUGACCCUACAAUGACCCCAUACCCGUGCCCCGAUGACCCUACAGUGACCCCAUAGCCGUGCCAUGAUGACCCUACAAUGACCCCAUAUCCGUGUCCCGAUGACCCUACAGUGACCCCAUAUCCGUGCCCCGAUGACCCUACAAUGACCCCAUAUCCGUGCCCUGAUGACCCUACAGUGACCCCAUACCCAUGCCCCGAUGACCCUACAAUGACCCCAUACCCAUGCCUCGAUGACCCUACAGUGACCCCAUAGCCGUGCCCUGAUGACCCUAUGAUGACCCCAUACCCGUGCCAUGAUGACCCUACGAUGACCCCAUACCCGUGCCCCGAUGACCCUACAGUGACCCCAUAUCCGUGCCCCGAUGACCCUAAGAUGACCCCAUAUCCGUGCCCCGAUGACCCUAUGAUGACCCCAUAGCCAUGCCAUGAUGACCCUACAAUGACCCCAUACCCAUGCCCCGAUGACCCUACAAUGACCCCAUACCCAUGCCUCGAUGACCCUACAGUGCCCCCAUAGCCGUGCCAUGAUGACCCUACAGUGACCCCAUACCCGUGCCCCGAUGACCCUAUGAUGACCCCAUAGCCGUGUCAUGAUGACCCUACAAUGACCCUAUGGCUGUGCCCCGAUGACCCUACAGUGACCCCAUACCCGUGCCAUGAUGACCCUACAAUGACCCCAUAUCCGUGCCCCGAUGACCCUAUGAUGACCCCAUAGCCAUGCCAUGAUGACCCUACAAUGACCCCAUACCCAUGCCCCGAUGACCCUACAAUGACCCCAUACCCAUGCCUCGAUGACCCUACAGUGCCCCCAUAGCCGUGCCAUGAUGACCCUACAGUGACCCCAUACCCGUGCCCCGAUGACCCUAUGAUGACCCCAUAGCCGUGUCAUGAUGACCCUACAAUGACCCUAUGGCUGUGCCCCGAUGACCCUACAGUGACCCCAUACCCAUGCCCCGAUGACCCUACAGUGACCCCAUAUCCGUGCCCCGAUGACCCUACAGUGACCCCAUAGCCGUGCCAUGAUGACCCUACAGUGACCCCAUACCCGUGCCAUGAUGACCCUAUGAUGACCCCAUAGCCGUGCCAUGAUGACCCCACAAUGACCCUAUAGCCAUGCUAUGAUGACCCUACAAUGACCCCAUACCUGUGCCCCAAUGACCCUACAGUGACCCCAUAUCCGUGCCCCGAUGACCCUACAAUGACCCCAUACCCAUGCCCCGAUGACCCUACAGUGCCCCCAUAGCCGUGCCCCGAUGACCCUACGAUGACCCCAUACCCGUGCCCCGAUGACCCUACAAUGACCCCAUAUCCGUGCCCCGAUGACCCUACAGUGACCCCAUACCCGUGCCAUGAUGACCCUACAAUGACCCCAUAGCCGUGCCACAAUGACCCUACAAUGACCCCAUGGCCGUGCC